UACGGAGGGGGGCUAGCGUUAUUCGGAAUUAUUGGGCGUAAAGGGCGCGUAGGCGGCCCGGUAAGUCAAAGGUGAAAUCCCUCGGCUCAACUGAGGAACUGCCUUUGAAACUGUCGGGCUUGAGGCCGGGAGGGGGUAGCGGAAUUCCCAGUGUAGCGGUGAAAUGCGUAGAUAUUGGGAGGAACACCGGUGGCGAAGGCGGCUACCUGGACCGGUUCUGACGCUGAUGCGUCGAAAGCGUGG
rnacentral:rRNA from 1 species